CUGACCUCAAAUCAGGUAGGACUACCCGCUGAACUUAAGCAUAUCAAUAAGCGGAGGAAAAGAAACUAACAAGGAUUCCCCUAGUAACUGCGAGUGAAGCGGGAAAAGCUCAAAUUUAAAAUCUGGCGGUCUUUGGCCGUCCGAGUUGUAGUCUGGAGAAGUGCU
rnacentral:rRNA from 1 species